CCUACGGGAGGCAGCAGUGGGGAAUAUUGGACAAUGGGCGAAAGCCUGAUCCAGCAAUGCCGCGUGAGUGAUGAAGGCCUUAGGGUUGUAAAGCUCUUUUACUAGGGAUGAUAAUGACAGUACCUGGAGAAUAAGCCCCGGCUAACUCCGUGCCAGCAGCCGCGGUAAU
rnacentral:rRNA from 1 species